ensembl:lncRNA
GUGAAACGGCCAAAACAACAGCUGAGUGGUUUACUAACUUCUGCGAGAAGUUACGUUCAGGCUCGGAGUCUGGGUCGGAUUUUUUUUUUAUCAACAAAAUGAAAGCUAAAUUGCGAGUGUAAGACACGACCGAAAGUUGUUUCCUUGCUGCGGGACAAAUGGAACAAGCAGAGGAGCUGGAGCAGAUUGCCACAUGGUUCAGGCAGGAGGGACUGGCCCCUGACUCCACUAAGGAGGCUCAGCUGUGCUUGCUAUGGCGUGCCCUCCAGCACACAAGAAGCCGUCUAAGCAAUGUGACGAGGGACCUGGAAAUCCACCGCUCAAAACACUUGGCAGAGAUGGCCGAGGUACGCAAGUCGCUGGAGCAGAUUCGGAUCUUUACAGAACACAAAGAUGUUUUGGCUCAGGAGAUUCAGAAUGAGAACGAUCAGCUUCAGGUGCAGCUGCACCGCCUAGUGUCCCUCCAAGAUGCCCAGAUAAGUGAGGUGGCUAAAAUGCUGUACCAGCAGGGCCUCACAGAGUUGAUCCACAGCAGCCCCAGUGAGCAGGUGGCUUACCUCCUGGUGGAGAGGGCUUCCCUACUUGAGACGAGUGUUGAUCCUGACAACCUGACGGCAGACGGAAACACAGCCAGCCUGCUGGGGGCAGAAGCACAAAGGAUGAACACCAACACACACCAGUGUACCCACAAGGGGGCGGCAUGUCAUGGGCAGAGCGCUUGGAAAAAACUAUUUGGACUCCACAAGGCUUUACAGAGCAAACAUACGUUUAUUCCUUGUUAUUAA